rnacentral:tmRNA from 1 species
GGGGGUGUCUUGGAAUUCGAUUACAAGUGGAAAUAUUGGGAAGCAAGUCGUGGGUGAUGAUCGGGGUCACGUUAAAACGAUCAUCAAAAUGUUAGCUGCAAACAACGCUGACUAUACACCUGCUCGCGUCGCACUUGCGGCGUAAUUAAGCAGGCGUCUUGUGCUGGGUUCGCCUGAAACGUAGCGUAAGAUGUCAUCUAAGUCAGGCUGGCUGUUGCAUUCCUCCGUAGCAGCAGUGAGAUUUAAGGAGGUGUUUCAGAUUGAGGAGGUUGGUUGCCGACAUAUCUGACAAAAACGAAAACUUCCAACUAAACUUGUAGAUGCCCAAAUGGAAACUAAGUAAGACGCGGGUUCGAAUCCCGCCACCUCCACCA